AGGCAGCAGUGAGGAUAUUGGUCAAUGGGCGAKRGCCUGAACCAGCCAAGUAGCGUGAAGGAUGACUGCCCUAUGGGUUGUAAACUUCUUUUAUAWRGGAAUAAAGUCGGGUAUGCRURCCCGUUUGCAUGUACUUUAUGAAUAAGGAUCGGCUAACUCCGUGCCAGCAGCCGCGGUAAUACGGAGGAUCCGAGCGUUAUCCGGAUUUAUUGGGUUUAAAGGGAGCGUAGAUGGAUGUUUAAGUCAGUUGUGAAAGUUUGCGGCUCAACCGUAAAAUUGCAGUUGAUACUGGAURUCUUGAGUGCAGUUGAGGCRGGCGGAAUUCGUGGUGUAGCGGUGAAAUGCUUAGAUAUCACGA
rnacentral:rRNA from 1 species